UACGUAGGGUCCGAGCGUUGUCCGGAAUCAUUGGGCGUAAAGCGCAUGUAGGCGGCCCUUUAAGUCGGAUGUGAAAUCCCAGGGCUCAACCCUGGAACUGCAUCCGAUACUGGAGGGCUUGAGGAAGGUAGAGGAGAGUGGAAUUCCCGGUGUAGCGGUGGAAUGCGCAGAUAUCGGGAGGAACACCAGCGGCGAAGGCGGCUCUCUGGGCCUCUCCUGACGCUGAGCUG
rnacentral:rRNA from 1 species